GUGGGGAAUUGUUCGCAAUGGGCGCAAGCCUGACGACGCAAUGCCGCGUGGAGGACGAAGGUCUUCGGAUUGUAAACUCCUGUUGCUCGGGAAGAAAAGCUCCGACCUAAUACGUUGGAGUCUGACGGUACCGGGUGAGGAAGCCCCGGCUAACUCUGUGCCAGCAGCCGCGGUAAUACAGAGGGGGCAAGCGUUGUUCGGAAUUACUGGGCGUAAAGGGCGCGUAGGCGGCCUGUUAAGUCGAACGUGAAAUCCCCAGGCUUAACCUGGGAACUGCGUCCGAUACUGGCAGGCUUGAAUCCGGGAGAGGGAUGCGGAAUUCCAGGUGUAGCGGUGAAAUGCGUAGAUAUCUGGAGGAACACCGGUGGCGAAGGCGGCAUCCUGGACCGGUAUUGACGCUGAGGCGCGAAAGCCAGGGGAGCAAACGGGAUUAGAUACCCCAGUAGUCC
rnacentral:rRNA from 1 species